rnacentral:lncRNA from 1 species
UUUUAUCAUACAAAGCAUCUUAUAAACCUAUAAUUAAUCUUAUUCUCACUAUUCUAAUCUUAUUCUCACUAUCAUACAAAGCAUCUUAUAAAUUGGAUAGGACGUCACAGUUGGUAUUAGAGCCAAUUACCAGCCGGAAGUGUGAGAUAAGUCUCAGCUGAGCCAGAAUUAUACAGCGGGGAGAGUAAGGCUCUUAUGCUGUUGACUGUUGUGAGUGGAGUGCAGCUCACUACAAAAUCGAUUUAGGCUGGCGAGACGAGUCUCACAUCGCCUGGUACUUGUGAGUUUGAGCCUGACGAGUACGUCAAGGAUUAAGGGGGAGGGAUUGUGAAACCCCAGAUAGUCUUAUAUAUAAGAUAUAAUAGAACUAGAACUCUUAACCAGACUUAAGCAUUUUGGGUGGUAGCUAGGUCCAAGAGGUUAAUAGAGUUAAGCGUGUUAGGACAUCACAUUAUAAAAUUUUAAAAAAUUCAUUU